UACGAAGGGACCUAGCGUAGUUCGGAAUUACUGGGCGUAAAGCGCGCGUAGGCCGUUGAGUUAGUUAAUUGUGAAAUCCCAAAGCUUAACUUUGGAACUGCAAUUAAAACUGCUCGACUAGAGUUUGAUAGAGGAAAGCGGAAUACAUAGUGUAGAGGUGAAAUUCGUAGAUAUUAUGUAGAACACCAGUUGCGAAGGCGGCUUUCUGGAUCAACACUGACGCUGAGGCGCGAAAGUAUGGGUAGCAAAGAGGAUUAGAUACCCUCGUAGUCCAUACCAUAAACGAUGAUUGCUAGAUGUUGGAAAUUUAUUUUCAGUAUCGCAGCUAACGCAUUAAGCAAUCCGCCUGGGGAGUACGACCGCAAGGUUAAAACUCAAAUGAAUUGACGGGGACCCGCACAAGCGGUGGAGCAUGUGGUUUAAUUCGAAGAUACGCGCAGAACCUUACCAACCCUUGACAUGUCUGUCGCGAGUUUAGGAAACUAGACUUUUCGGUUCGGCCGGACAGAACACAGGUGCUGCAUGGCUGUCGUCAGCUCGUGUCGUGAGAUGUUGGGUUAAGUCCCGCAACGAGCGCAACCCCUACUUUUAGUUGCCAUCAGGUCAUGCUGGGCACUCUGAAAGAACUGCCAGUGAUAAGCUGGAGGAAGGUGGGGAUGACGUCAAGUCCUCAUGGCCCUUACGGGUUGGGCUACACACGUGCUACAAUGGUAGUGACAAUGAGACGCAAGGUGGCGACGCUAAGCUAAACUCAAAAAUCUACCUCAGUUCGGAUUGCACUCUGCAACUCGAGUGCAUGAAGCUGGAAUCGCUAGUAAUCGUAGAUCAGCGUGCUACGGUGAAUACGUUCCCGGGUCU
rnacentral:rRNA from 1 species